rnacentral:rRNA from 1 species
CCCUUAGACGUUCUGGGCCGCACGCGCGCUACACUGACCAGUGCAACAAGCAUCCGUCCUUGGCCGACAGGCCCGGGCAAUCUUUGAACGCUGGUCGUGAUGGGGAUAGACUUUUGCAAUUUUUGGUCUUCAACGAGGAAUUCCUAGUAAACGCAAGUCAUCAACUUGCAUUGAUUACGUCCCUGCCCUUUGUACACACCGCUCGUCGCACCUACCGAUUGAAUGGUCCGGUGAAGCCUCCGGAUUGGCGCGCACCUCGGUGCCGCCGAGAAGUUGGCUAAACCUUACCAUUUAGAGGAAGGUGAAGUCGUAACA